rnacentral:rRNA from 1 species
UGCGUAGGCGGAAUGGUAAGUCAGGGGUGAAAGUUUGCGGCUCAACCGUAAAAUUGCCUUUGAUACUGUCAUUCUUGAGUACAUUUGAGGUAGGCGGAAUGUGCCAUGUAGCGGUGAAAUGCUUAGAUAUGCCACAGAACACCGAUUGCGAAGGCAGCUUACUAAACUGUAACUGACGCUGAUGCACGAAAGCGUGGGGAUCGAACA